rnacentral:lncRNA from 1 species
CAGGAGCCUCAGAGCAGCUGAUUCCUGGAUAAGGAUCGUCUCCUUGGCCUAGCCUACCAUGGUCCCAAGCUGUCCUUGAGGCUGAGGUAGUAGAUUGAAUAGUUGUGGAGUCCUAUCCUCCCUUUGAGCUAACUAUACAAUCUACUGUCUUUCCUAAGGAGACAGUCAGGUCAUCGGUUCUCAUCUACUUCAACAAGCAGGGAGGCAGGUGGUGCAAGUAAUCCUGUCCUUAUUCAAGGCCAGUGAUAUGGCUGUGAAUCACGUGAGACCUCUGUACUGCUCUGUGGAGGUGCAAGAUAAACAGUGAAAUGAGUUGGUGCAUCAGCUCCUGGUGUUCAGUUCUAUCCUUUUUUUCCAGAAGAUGCGAUCAACUUGGGAAAGGUUUAGAGAAGCAGAUGGGACCAUCCCUCUGCCAUAUUCCAGCGCAAAUAGGAUCAAGAUCAUGAGCGGGUCUGUAACCUGAUCAGGGCUGCACCAGCUCUUCAAGAGGGAAAGACGUCUUAGGCCAUUAUCAUUGCCAUCUCACUGUCAGGAAAACAUGUGAGAUCUGAGACAUCAGAGACCAAGGGCAAGCAGAGGACACAUUCACAGAUGAAGUGGGGAGAAGAGGGCUGGAAAAAGAAAUUGGACCCCUCC